rnacentral:rRNA from 1 species
UAGGGAAUUUUCCGCAAUGGGCGAAAGCCUGACGGAGCAACGCCGCGUGAGUGAAGACGGUUUUCGGAUUGUAAAGCUCUGUUCUGUGGGAAGAAGACAGUGACGGUACCAUAGGAGAAAGCCCCGGCUAACUACGUGCCAGCAGCCGCGGUAAUACGUAGGGGGCAAGCGUUGUCCGGAAUUAUUUGGCGUAAAGCGCGCGCAGGCGGUUAAUUAAGUCAGAUGUGAAAGGCUACGGCUCAACCGUAGAGUUGCAUUUGAAACUGGUUAACUUGAGUGCAGGAGAGGUGAGUGGAAUUCCCGGUGUUGCGGUUGAAUGCGUAGAGAUCGGGAGGAACACCAGUGGCGAAGGCGGCUCACUGGCCGGCAACUGACGCUGAGGCGCGAAAGCGUGGGGAGCGAAC